rnacentral:rRNA from 1 species
UACGGAGGGUGCAAGCGUUAUCCGGAUUCACUGGGUUUAAAGGGUGCGUAGGUGGAUUAGUAAGUCAGUGGUGAAAUCUCCGGGCUUAACCCGGAAACUGCCAUUGAUACUAUUAGUCUUGAAUACCGUGGAGGUCAGCGGAAUAUGUCAUGUAGCGGUGAAAUGCUUAGAUAUGACAUAGAACACCAAUUGCGAAGGCAGCUGGCUACACGAAUAUUGACACUCAGGCACGAAAAGCGUGGGGAUCAAACAGG